ACCGACUGGACUCAAACAUUACACGGAUGGCAUUUCACGGGGCGCAUAGACUAGUUUUCUCGAUCGCAUCGCGACGACUGGGUCACGUUAUCGGCCCGUCGAAUAGCUUCCCUCCAGAACUAUCGAGGCGUCGCGUCGUGAUAGCGCGUGAUCGCGAGCGACGCACGAAUCGUGCUAGACGCCCGCGCCAGUUCGACGCUCGAUCGCGCGGCGUCUGGACUUGGAGCGUCGUUUUCGUUUCUAUUUAGCGUACAGAGAAACGUGAAACGUUUCUCGAUCGUCUUCGAGACGCGAUUUUCGUUCGUGCAGCGUUGUCAGGGCGUUAUUCGCGCGCGACCCGAGAUGAGCGAGCGACCCUGGUAUUCGCUACGGCGUGACGGCGACUCGAGGAUGAUGAUGUAUAAGCAGGCGGAGUUUGAGGACGAGGACAGCAGCAGCAUCGGGUCCGUAGCUCUCAACAGCGAGGGCAUCAGCACGUCCGCGACUCACAUUAGAUAUCGUUCGGUACGUUUCAAGGGGACGUCGCUGUGGAGAGCGAGAAGCACGCUGGAGAGAUGCCUGUUUAUCAUUUGCACCGGCCUAUUGCUGAUGGUCGUGUUGCUGUCGAUAGUUAUCAGCAGCAAGAACGGCUGGGACGAGGCGCAGAUACUUCACGUGACUUCCCACGGAGAAGACGGCACGCACUGCCUGACGAAACAUUGCGUGACGGUAGCUGCGUCCAGUAUAAACAGUAUAGAUUGGUCCGUCGAUCCGUGCGAUGAUUUCUACGAGUACGCCUGCGGUGGAUGGAUAAAAAAGAACCCUAUACCGGAUGGGAACAGCAUGUGGGGAACAUUCGACAAACUGAAGCAAGAAAACGAGUUGGUGCUCAAGAACAUUCUUGAGAAACCGCUAAACAAUAUGAAGUCGAAGGCUGAGAGAAAGGCCAAGUAUUACUUCAUGUCCUGUAUGGACGCGAACGAUACCAUCGAGACCCUCGGUGCGAAGCCUAUGCUCGACUUGUUGGAUUCUAUUGGUGGCUGGAACAUCUCUGGGAAAUUCAAUCUGAGCUCGUGGUCUUUGCAGAACAGCAUGCAACUUCUGCAAAACGUUUACAACAUGGACGGUUUAUUUACAUGGGCGGUGAACGAGGACGAUCGAAAUAGUACCAGGCACAUUAUACAAAUCGAUCAGGGAGGUCUGACUUUGCCAACCGCUGACAAUUACUUGAACGUUACCGAGAACAGCAAAGUGUUGCUUGCCUAUCUAGACUACAUGACGAAGAUCGGCGUGCUGCUAGGUGGCGAGAAGAACGCGACCAGGGUACAGAUGCUCGAGGUGAUCGAUUUCGAGACGAAGCUGGCCAAGAUCAUGACGCCUCUGGAGGAACGUAGGGACGAAGAAAAGCUUUACAACCCGAUGACGUUGAACGAGCUUCAACGUAAAGCACCUUUCAUGUCUUGGGUGGACUACUUUCAAAACGCGACGCGUUUAGUCAACAAGAAGAUCAGCGGCGACGCGACGAUCGUCAACUUCGCACCGGAAUAUUUUGUCAAGUUGUCGAAACUCGUGCUGGAGUACAACAAGACGGACGCUGGAAAAGUAAUACUGAAUAACUACCUGGUUUGGCAGACCGUGAGGCCCCUGACGGGGUGCUUGUCGAAGCCCUUCCGUGACGCUUACAAGGGCCUCAGGAAAGCCUUGAUCGGCUCGGAGGGCCGCGAGGAGCAGUGGCGUUAUUGCGUCAGCGAUACGGACAACGCGAUGGGCUUUGCGAUCGGCGCCAUGUUCGUACGAGACGUCUUCCACGGGAGGAGCAAACCCAUGGCGGAGCAGAUGAUCGAUCAGGUACGGCAAGCUUUCACGAAAAACUUGAAGAAUCUCGAUUGGAUGGACGCGGAGACCAGGCAAGCCGCCGAGGAGAAAGCGAACGCCAUCACCGAUAUGAUCGGUUUCCCAAAUUUCAUACUGGACCCCAAUCAGCUGGACGACCUUUACAGAGAUUUGUACAUUAAGCAGAACGAAUACUUUCAGAAUACCAUACGGGUGAACAAGUAUAAUUUACGGAAGAACCUGGAGAAGCUCGAUCAACCCGUGAACAAGACCACUUGGAUCAUGACGCCGCCCACCGUGAACGCUUAUUACAGGCCUACCAAAAAUCAGAUGGUCCUACCCGCUGGUAUCCUACAGAGUCCGUUCUAUGACAUGGAGAACCCUAGUAGCUUAAAUUUCGGUGGUAUAGGAGUCGUCAUGGGCCACGAGCUGACUCACGCGUUCGACGAUCAAGGAAGGGAAUACGAUUUACACGGGAACUUGAAUCAGUGGUGGAACAACGCGACGAUAGAAAGGUUCAAAAAUAGAACGGAAUGUUUCGUAGAACAGUACAACAGCUUCGAGAUACACGGUCGGCACGUGAACGGACGGCAGACUUUGGGAGAAAAUAUUGCCGACAACGGAGGCCUCGAAGCAGCGUACCACGCGUACCUCACGACGCCUAAAAGCUACAAGGAUCAGCUACCAUUACCUGGUCUCAAUCUAACGCAUCGUCAGCUGUUCUUUCUGAAUUUUGCUCAGGUCUGGUGUUCAGCUGCAACGUCUGAGGCGAUUGUUCUCCAAAUCGAGAAAGAUUCUCAUUGUCCGGCGAAAUUCAGAGUGAUAGGACCUCUUUCGAAUCUCCCCGAGUUCGCUACCGAAUUCAAUUGUCCGAAAGGCUCGCGAAUGAAUCCGGUUCACAAAUGCGAGGUGUGGUAACGCGCCAUGUUUUCGAUCGCUCUGAUUUCCGGUGUAGCGAACGAGUCGUCGAAUGGCUCCUUUUCGAUUCAAUUCGUGCAAUCAACGAGUCGUUCGAUGAAGGACCGAAUUACUUGAAUCGGUCGAGGGCAAUCCUCUUGGCGGAUCAGCGAUUCAAAUGUCGACGAUGAAUCUUCAGGAGAUGUGUUGCGCAACGGCGCGAUCGUCAUUGGGGAUCGCUGACACCUCGUUCAUGCAAACGACGAUGAAAAUGUUCGAAUUCCAUUUCAAUGUCGUUCGAAUGGGUUCGAAUGGUACGUGACGAGGGCAUUGAUUUUACGAUGCGAUAUUAUUCGGACCGGUCAAGUACUUCCAUUUGUUGAAUCCUCGAUCGUUGAUUUAUCGAGAACCGUCGAGAUCGCAACGUGCCACACUUUUGGGACUCCGUAUGUUUGCAACGAAUGCCAGAGAUGCAAUUUUAUAUACCGAUCCAAGGUCCGAGAUUUCGCGUAUAGGACGAAAGUUGAGCGUUUCUCACGGUGCAGAACUUUUGCGCGUUUAGGCGUCUCGAUUCUUUCGGAACAAUCGAUAGGAAUGCUCGCUACGCGACCAUCAAGGCACUAGGACCAUUAUAUGAAUUUAUUGCUCUUUCUUAUAUAGCUAUUUUAACGCGACCCAGAGCGAUAGGUUUUCCGACUAAUCAGUGUUCACUGUGGUUCAUCGCGAUCGAUCACCGAACCGACCGACAUUGCACCGUAAGCGAACGUAAAGUCAUUUUUUACUUUUAUACUUGUAUUAUUCGAUCGUCAGUCGAUUCGAGUAUAGGUACAUUCACGACACGAAAGAUUCAAUCAAAUUUCCGCGAACGCUCAUGCCAACUGGAACGACCUGUAUAAUCGCCGAAUAUUUAUCGAAUUGAUACAAACGUUUUCAUCCUUAGCUGCGGUACAUUACUUUCCCAUAGGUCGAAAUAGAGGGUAUGUACUAUUGUUCAAGGUCGAUUUACUUUGCUUUGCUCGCAUCAGGAGGAUUCUCGAAGAUCUCGAUGAGCCAUAGCGAUCGUGAAUCGCAAACACGGUGCCGUAAUUUUCUGCAGGCAGGAUCUAACGUUUAAGCUUAAGAAGUUUAAUUUUAUAAACAAGCUACGGGCUAGUUAUAUAGAGCGGAGUUAGUACGUUAAUCUAGGGGAUGCGUUUUCACGCACUAUGGGUGCCGAGACGAAAUAUUUUUCAAUGUGCUUAAGUGUAUAUUUUCAUUCUGUCUCGUGCUGCUCAGUAUUCGAGCGAAUCAAAAAGUUCUCCUUUCGUUUGCUACAGAUGUAUCGAGAGGAUUGUAUACAGUGUAUAGGUGUAAACCAAAUUAUAGUCUACUUUAAGAAAUUAUUUGUACAAAAAAGUGGUGUCGAUAGGUUUCCACGCGUGCAACCUCGAGAUCUUUUAAAUCAAACGAAUCGCAAAAGGACGAGAAACGAUGCGAAAGUCAUUUGGCGCGAUAUAACUACUCUGUAACUGAUACGUCUGUUAACUAUGUGCCGUGAAUCUUUAUUUUUCAUUGUUUCAAAGUAUUGUUAAGUAUAGUUAAGUAUAGUUAUUAGAAGGAAAAAGCCGAUUGUAUACUUUAAGCGCGUAAGAUGUGUCCGAGUGGUUCUUUUUAUACUCGUUUGGUGACGACUGACGAGUGAGAACAAAAUUGUCAGCAACCACACCCUUUCUUUGUAUGUUACAUUUUACAAAACAAGCGAAGCUAGAUAACGCCAAUAAUUCAUCGAUGCUGGAACGCGAGAGAAUGAUGAAGAAAAAUUUUAUGCGUCGUGCGAGUAGCUCUUAGAGGGCGGGAAUUAUUUCGAUUGCGCCACUAAUAUUAUACAAUAUCAUUGGAGAUAUUUAUUAAUGACGCACGUGUAAAUCAAAUAAAGAACGAAUUAAAUAACGAUCAGAUUGCUUUAUAAAUUGCAGGGAAGGAGGUUUUUGUUUCUUCCGUUGCUCCAGAGAAAAAGUUUGAACUAGUCGUGUUGGAGAAGGUAAGAAAACAGUUACUCGGUCGGCUGCAAGAUCACCCUGAUUGUUUUAAACGACACUGAUAAAGUAAGGGGUGACAUUCGUAACAUUGUAGCCGGUGAAAAGACGAGUUGAGCGAUCUACUAUACCGUGACCCUGAAAUGUCUGUCAAAUGAAAAAUGAAUGUUCUUCAAAUGAGGUGAAAAUGUCUGAUAAAUCGUGAGAACCGUCACAAUAAACAUACUUGCUACAUA